UACGGGAGGCAGCAGUGGGGAAUAUUGCACAAUGGGCGCAAGCCUGAUGCAGCCAUGCCGCGUGUAUGAAAAAGGCCUUCGGGUUGUAAAGUACUUUCAGUCGUGAGGAAGGUGUUAAGGUUAAUAACCUUAGCAAUUGACGUUAGCGACAGAAGAAGCACCGGCUAACUCCGUGCCAGCAGCCGCGGUAAUACGGAGGGUGCGAGCGUUAAUCGGAAUUACUGGGCGUAAAGGGCACGCAGGCGGUUAAUUAAGUUGGAUGUGAAAUCCCCGGGCUUAACCUGGGAAUGGCAUUCAAGACUGGUUAGCUAGAGUCUUGUAGAGGGGGUAGAAUUCCAUGUGUAGCGGUGAAAUGCGUAGAGAUGUGGAGGAAUACCGGUGGCGAAGGCGGGCCCCUGGACAAAGACUGACGCUCAUGUGCGAAAGCGUGGGGAGCAAACGAGGGAUUAGAUACC
rnacentral:rRNA from 1 species